UUUCCGUAGGUGAACCUGCGGAAGGAUCAUUCAUAAUAAAGUUUUUUAUGGAACUUUUUAAAACUCCAUAUCCACCUUGUGUGCAAUGUUAGAUCUCGUCAAUCUUGGCGAGAUUUUUAUACAUCAACUCAUUCUUUAACUAAUUUGUCUGAAAAAUAUUAUGAAUACUUAAUUCAAAAUACAACUUUCAACAACGGAUCUCUUGGCUCUC
rnacentral:misc_RNA from 1 species